ensembl:lincRNA
AAUUGGGGUGGCAGUAGGGGAAGAGAAAGUAUCUCUUGGGUGAGAAAUCAAUGGUCCAUUUCCAACACUGGACUGUAAUGUCCUUCUAAUCAGUACUCCGUCUAUCUGAUUCCAUAAUGGCGUUGAAGGGGUGGGGACACCAUCUCAUCUUUUAGGGAGGAAAUGAUGGUCUAGACAAAUCAAUGAUUUUCCAAGGUCUCUCUUAAGAGACCCAUAGUAGUACUGGGAUUUUAACCUUUGGCUCUGUUUGGAUACAAAUAACCAGAGUGAGAAUAGAAAUCUAAUAUAAUCAUCCAAAUCUGUCAUCAAAGCUACUUUCAGCAGACUGAGUGAUUCAUUAAAAACAAAACCAACCAACCAACCAAAAAAUGAGACAUAGAGAUGCGCUGAGCUGGUGCAGGGGAGGAGAUCCAUAAAAGCCUGAGGAAUGAUCCUUGUCCCUGAGGACAUGAGCCAGAAACCCAGGUGAAAGGCAGCCCCCAACACAGGUGUUAAACCAGCUAGCUCCAGUCCAAGGUGGAAUAGAGCAUGCAUUCUGGGGUGAUACAAAAAUUGAAAUACGGGAGUCUCUGGACCAUGUCCCCAUGCCAUAACUCUUGUGCACUUCCAAGCCCUCUUUCUUACUAACACCAAGGAAAUAAUGAACAUGUCACUACCUUGCUUAGAUAUUUCCAAUGGUCCCAUCAUCAAUAACAAAAGUUGCUCCUUUGCAUGGGAACAUGCCUUUUGUAAUUUACACCCUGCUUUCCUCGCCAGCUUCGUUUCUUCAGACCGUCCAGCUUGCUGCCUCUUGCCCAGUCACGUGGAGCUAAUAAAGAUGCGCUGUUCCACACCUCUGUGCCUCUCCACAUAUGGUUCCUUUCGCCUGGAGUGCCAACCCUUUCUGCCUGCUGUCCACCUAUCAAACUUCCACUCAUCCUUUACAAACGAGCAUAAGCAUCAGCACUUUGGAGGUGUGAGAAAAUACCCAGUGUCAGGAGAGACCAAAGGUCUGGUCCUGGGACCUGGUGAGGUGGAAGUGCAGCAGCCUCCCUGUGGAGAUAAGGAGUCCCAGCAAUAUGGUGGCCGGCUGGCACCACACAGAGGAGGCCAGUGUGUGAGUCCCUGGCAGCGGACAUAA